rnacentral:rRNA from 1 species
GAUGAACGCUGGCGGCGUGCCUAAUACAUGCAAGUCGAGCGAACGGACGAGAAGCUUGCUUCUCUGAUGUUAGCGGCGGACGGGUGAGUAACACGUGGAUAACCUACCUAUAAGACUGGGAUAACUUCGGGAAACCGUAGCUAAUACCGGAUAAUAUAUUGAACCGCGUGGUUCAAUAGUGAAAGACGGUUUUGCUGUCACUUAUAGAUGGAUCCGCGCCGCAUUAGCUAGUUGGUAAGGUAACGGCUUACCAAGGCAACGAUGCGUAGCCGACCUGAGAGGGUGAUCGGCCACACUGGAACUGAGACACGGUCCAGACUCCUACGGGAGGCAGCAGUAGGGAAUCUUCCGCAAUGGGCGAAAGCCUGACGGAGCAACGCCGCGUGAGUGAUGAAGGUCUUCGGAUCGUAAAACUCUGUUAUUAGGGAAGAACAAAUGUGUAAGUAACUAUGCACGUCUUGACGGUACCUAAUCAGAAAGCCACGGCUAACUACGUG